GUUGAACAGGUUAUGCUGAGCAAAUAUGAGAGAAGCGGAUGUGCUUUUUGUGGCAAUACAAUUAGCAGACUUUAUAAGUGUAGAAGCUGCUUACUAUAUUACAAUCUUCAAUGUAUAGCUUAUCAAAAGUAUCCACGUGAAUCUAAAUGGUUUUGCACGGCAUGUAAGACAGAUUACUUAUGAGGUUUUCAAUCUAAGUUGCAGACUACUAAAAAAAAAGUUCUGCUCAGGUAGUGUUCUUCUGUCCCUUCCAAGUUUAGUCAGUCCUGAAGAUAACUUGGCUACAGAAGCAAGUAUUUACCAUGUAAAUAACUCAAGAUCUUUCUAAAACAGAGUACCAAAUCACGCAAGAUGUAUCAGCAAGUGUGUGGAGUGUACAGAAACAAUAUAAUGAAUAAAAAUUA